rnacentral:rRNA from 1 species
GCGGUACUCUGACCGUGCAAAGGUAGCAUAAUCAUUUGCCUUAUAAUUGAAGGCUAGUAUGAAUGGUUUGACGAGAAUUAAGCUGUCUCUUUACAAUUAAAUAUAAUUUUAUUUACAGGUGAAGAAGCCUGUGUUUUAUUGAAAGACAAGAAGACCCUAUCGAGCUUUAAAAAAUUUAGUAGACUUAUCUUAUAUUAAUAAAAAUAUAAGGCUAUUAAAAAUUUUGGUUGGGGCGACUGAGGAACAAAUAAAGCUUCCUUUAUAGUUAAAAACUUACAAGUAUUGAGCCAAUAAAUUUGAUUAAAGGAAUUAGUUACCGUAGGGAUAACAGCAUAAUCUUCUUUGAGAGCUCCCAUCGAAAAGGAGGUUUGUGACCUCGAUGUUGGACCAGAAUACCCAGAAGAUGCAGCUGUCUUCAAAGGUUGGUCUGUUCGACCAUUAAAA